UGCAAGUCGAACGGUAACAGGUCGCUGUGAUCCCUUCGGGGUGAACUUGAUGCUGACGAGUGGCGGACGGGUGAGUAAUACUUAGGAAUCUGCCCAGUAGUGGGGGACAACAUUCGGAAACGGAUGCUAAUACCGCAUACGCACUACGGUGGAAAGUGGGGGAUCUUCGGACCUCACGCUAUUGGAUGAGCCUAAGUCGGAUUAGCUUGUUGGUGAGGUAAUGGCUCACCAAGGCGACGAUCUGUAGCUGGUCUGAGAGGACGAUCAGCCACACUGGGACUGAGACACGGCCCAGACUCCUACGGGAGGCAGCAGUGGGGAAUCUUGGUCAAUGGGCGAAAGCCUGAACCAGCGAUGCCGCGUGUGUGAAGAAGGCCCUAGGGUUGUAAAGCACUUUCAGUAGAGAAGAAAAGCUUAAGGUUAAUACCCUUGAGUCUUGACGUAACCUACAGAAGAAGCACCGGCUAACUCCGUG
rnacentral:rRNA from 1 species